rnacentral:rRNA from 1 species
AUGAACGCUGGCGGCGUGCCUAAUACAUGCAAGUCGAGCGAACAGACGAGGAGCUUGCUCCUCUGACGUUAGCGGCGGACGGGUGAGUAACACGUGGAUAACCUACCUAUAAGACUGGGAUAACUUCGGGAAACCGGAGCUAAUACCGGAUAAUAUAUUGAACCGCAUGGUUCAAUAGUGAAAGACGGUUUUGCUGUCACUUAUAGAUGGAUCCGCGCCGCAUUAGCUAGUUGGUAAGGUAACGGCUUACCAAGGCAACGAUGCGUAGCCGACCUGAGAGGGUGAUAGGCCACACUGGAACUGAGACACGGUCCAGACUCCUACGGGAGGCAGCAGUGGGGAAUCUUCCGCAAUGGGCGAAAGCCUGACGGAGCAACGCCGCGUGAGUGAUGAGGGUCUUCGGAUCGUAAAACUCUGUUAUUAGGGAAGAACAAAUGUGUAAGUAACUAUGCACGUCUUGACGGUACCUAAUCAGAAAGCCACGGCUAACUACGUG